ACGAAGAAGUGAUUGGAUAUCUGUGUGACGUGACGUUGCCAUCAUCGUCGAUGUUUUUUGUGUGUGUGUGUUUGAUAAGAAUUGCUUUCAAACGUUUUGAACAUUUCAAACUCGAAGCGAAUGCGCAUGUUUAAAGCGAUGGUAUGCAAAACAGUGGCCAGCAAAAUGGUGCACGGUAUACCGCUGAACGUCAUUUUGGUUUUAAACCUCGUGUAGGUAGGAGAAGAGCUAUACAGACAGCAACAAAAAAAAAGAAAAAAAAAAACGUUACAAAGUGCACCUAACCAAGGAUAUUUAAUUCAAAGAUACGAAAAAAAAACAGUUCAUUUGAACGGAAUUUAAUUACGGCUUUGAUCAUUCAAACGGCUCUCCUUCCGUCAACCGUAAAGAAGGGCGCCGAGAAAUUGAAAUUAAAUUUCACAAAAAUCAAGGCGCAGCAAAACAACAGCCGAAAAAGGACUCUCCGGGCCAACCACUCGAGAUAGGAAAACGGCUCAUACACUACUUAACGAAUUCACUACUAAACUCUACAAGCAGACGGCUACCGGCGACUUUGUAGCGGUCUAAGAGAACAUCGAUUGUGAAGUGGGUGGUGGGAGGAAAAAAUAUCGGGCUAGGAUUACAUUCCUCAACUAUGUAGCGAUGAUGAUAUUUUUGGCUCCCGAUGGACAUCCCAUGGACCAUGCCGAUACAAGCACGAACGACUGUACGACGACAGAUCCCUCAAGCCUACCGGGGUGGAACAUAUUUCGUCCCAUACAACUUCGGUUCGGAGGAAACAUCAACGAACGAGCUGUACUGUCAUCCUCAUCGCUGCACGAUACAGCCCUCCCUCCCGGGAUUGACGAAAUGAUACCACUUUCUAAAGUCGUUGAAAGAGGAAAAUAAAACAUGCAAGCACUCAACACACACAUACAAACCUCAUAAUGAUGAUUAUGAUGAUGAUGGUCACGAUCACGCAGACGAUCGCGCUUCAACCUGCCUGCAGCAAUAAAGAAAAAGGAUUGAAAAAUCCAUCGACAGCUCGGAAACACUUUGCACCGUGGGGAGGAUCGUGCGCGAACCGUAAAGUUUUCCACUGCCAAAAAAUAACCAGCCACCGGGGAAGGGGAAA